CGUGUAGGCGGUUGGUUAAGUCGGAUGUGAAAGCCUGGGGCUCAGCCCCAGAAGUGCAUCCGAAACUAUCCAGCUAGAGCGCGAUGGAGGAGGGUGGAAUUCCUGGCGUAGCGGUGAAAUGCGUAGAUAUCAGGAGGAACACCGGCGGCGAAGGCGGCCCUCUGGAUCGUUGCUGACGCUGAGACGCGAAAGCGUGGGGAGCAAACAGGAUUAGAUACCCUGGUAGUCCACGCCUUAAACGAUGGGUACUAGGUGUUCGGGGUGUUGACCCCCUGAGUGCCGCAGUUAACGCAUUAAGUACCCCGCCUGGGGACUACGGCCGCAAGGUUAA
rnacentral:rRNA from 1 species